GAUGAACGCUGACGGCGUGCCUAAUACAUGCAAGUCGAGCGAACAGACGAGGAGCUUGCUCCUCUGACGUUAGCGGCGGACGGGUGAGUAACACGUGGAUAACCUACCUAUAAGACUGGGAUAACUUCGGGAAACCGGAGCUAAUACCGGAUAAUAUAUUGAACCGCAUGGUUCAAUAGUGAAAGACGGUUUUGCUGUAACUUAUAGAUGGAUCCGCGCCGCAUUAGCUAGUUGGUAAGGUAACGGCUUACCAAGGCAACGAUGCGUAGCCGACCUGAGAGGGUGAUCGGCCACACUGGAACUGAGACACGGUCCAGACUCCUACGGGAGGCAGCAGUAGGGAAUCUUCCGCAAUGGGCGAAAGCCUGACGGAGCAACGCCGCGUGAGUGAUGAAGGUCUUCGGAUCGUAAAACUCUGUUAUUAGGGAAGAACAAAUGUGUAAGUAACUAUGCACGUCUUGACGGUACCUAAUCAGAAAGCCACGGCUAACUACGUG
rnacentral:rRNA from 1 species